GUAAAUAGGUGUAAUGAUGCACAGAAAAUUUUGAUUUUUACGGACAAGUUUAAUCCUUGAUUUUACA
rnacentral:tRNA from 1 species